AAUGGACUCUCAGCAACGGAUAUCUUGCUCUUGCACGA
rnacentral:rRNA from 1 species